rnacentral:rRNA from 1 species
GGAUCUCUUGGUUCUGGCAUCGAUGAAGAACGCAGCGAAAUGCGAUAAGUAGUGUGAAUUGCAGAAUUCAGUGAAUCAUCGAAUCUUUGAACGCACAUUGCGCCCCUUGGUAUUCCAUGGGGCAUGCCUGUUCGAGCGUCAUUUGUACCCUCAAGCUUUGCUUGGUGUUGGGCGUUUUGUCUUUUACCAGACUCGCCUUAAAGUCAUUGGCAGCCAGUGUUUUUGGUAGUAAGCGCAGCACAAUUUGCGUCUUAGUCCUUGAAUCGUGGCAUCCAUAAAGCCUCUUUUUCACUUUUGACCUCGGAUCAGGUAGGGAUACCCGCUGAACUUAAGCAUAUCAAUAAGCGGAGGA